CCCUUAGAUGUUCUGGGCUGCACGCGCGCUACACUGAUGCAUGCAACGAGUUUUCGACCUUGCCUGAAAAGGUUGGGUAAUCUGUUUAACAUGUGUCGUGAUGGGGAUAGACCAUUGCAAUUAUUGAUCUUCAACGAGGAAUGCCUAGUAAGCGCAAGUCAUCAGCUUGCGUUGAUUACGUCCCUGCCCUUUGUACACACCGCCCGUCGCUCCUACCGAUUGAAUGGUCCGGUGAAGCGUUCGGACCGUGGCCUUUGGACGGUUCGCCGUCUGUUGGCUGCGGGAAGUUCGUUAAACCUUAUCAUUUAGAGGAAGGAGAAGUCGUAACA
rnacentral:rRNA from 1 species